UACGGAGGGAGCUAGCGUUGUUCGGAAUUACUGGGCGUAAAGCGCGCGUAGGCGGCUUUGUAAGUUAGAGGUGAAAGCCCGGGGCUCAACCCCGGAACUGCCUUUAAAACUGCAUCGCUUGAAUCCGGGAGAGGUGAGUGGAAUUCCGAGUGUAGAGGUGAAAUUCGUAGAUAUUCGGAAGAACACCAGUGGCGAAGGCGGCUCACUGGACCGGCAUUGACGCUGAUGUGCGAAAGCGUGGGGAGCAAACAGG
rnacentral:rRNA from 1 species